GUAGCAAUGCGAUUGACCGCAGUGGUGGAAUGUUUCGUGCACUGGUGGACGGCGUCGGCUUACCCAGCGUUUUUCGAUGCUCUUUUAUUCUGGCCUGGUCAUUUCCGCAAAAUGGUCAGCUGCUGUUUCGGAUGGUACGCCACGAUUGAGGCAACUCGGGCGUUUUGCAGCGCUCUCGGGGUCUACUGUAGAGGAUGAAGCAACGACGAGGAAUGGCGCUUCUUUCUCCUUUACUGUAGACAUUGUGUUGUCCUUUCAAUUCUAGGAAGUAAGCAAAAGAGAAGGUACUUCUACUCCGAAGCCUCAGCUGGGUUACAUUCUUUCACGUGCAACAUUUGCACUUCUUGCUUUAAAGAGCGUGCUUGAGCACAAAGCUAGUUACUAGGUUAAUUCAGUUGAAGUACAAAUUUUGCAUGCUGGCAUAAGCCCCAGCUGUGAGUUGUACACUGUAAGCAGCAGGACGCAUGUCUUCUGCUUCUAUUUGUAGGGCACUUCGUAGCGUCGACUGGUGUCAAGUGCAUAACGUCUCAAUCUAAGCCUAUCGACAGGCACGUAAAAGUAGUGACCUACCUCACAACUGCCCUCACAGGUCAGAUCUCAAAGUAGACGUGCGUAGCCAGACUACUGCCACAGUGCCACGGCCACGGUCGCCAGGCAACCGUUCGUCCAGUCCCAAGACUCCGCCAGUGUCGCCCACAAGGCCGUCCGCAAAGUCGCCCCCAAAGUCGCCACCGAAAUCGCCGAGGGCACAGAAGUCAGCAGCAAAAAGUGGCAACAGGCCCAAGUGGUUUAUCAUGGGGAAGAAAUAGAAACUCCACUUGUGUCGAGCAGUGCAUCUUCCUAGCGAAGAAAGGGUGCUGCUGAAAUUGAAGUGUUAACUUCUCGCAUGUUUUUGUACAACUGCGCGCGUGCAUGAGUUCUUGGUGCUUUAACAGAUAUGAAUGCUAGAAUGAU